rnacentral:rRNA from 1 species
AUUGAACGCUGGCGGCAGGCCUAACACAUGCAAGUCGAACGGUAACAGGAAGCAGCUUGCUGCUUUGCUGACGAGUGGCGGACGGGUGAGUAAUGUCUGGGAAACUGCCCGAUGGAGGGGGAUAACUACUGGAAACGGUAGCUAAUACCGCAUAACGUCGCAAGACCAAAGAGGGGGACCUUAGGGCCUCUUGCCAUCGGAUGUGCCCAGAUGGGAUUAGCUAGUAGGUGGGGUAACGGCUCACCUAGGCGACGAUCCCUAGCUGGUCUGAGAGGAUGACCAGCCACACUGGAACUGAGACACGGUCCAGACUCCUACGGGAGGCAGCAGUGGGGAAUAUUGCACAAUGGGCGCAAGCCUGAUGCAGCCAUGCCGCGUGUAUGAAGAAGGCCUUCGGGUUGUAAAGUACUUUCAGCGGGGAGAAAGGGAGUAAAGUUAAUACCUUUGCUCAUUGACGUUACCCGCAGAAGAAGCACCGGCUAACUCCGUG